GACGAACGCUGGCGGCGGGCUUAACACAUGCAAGUCGAACGGAAAGGCCCUGCUUUUGUGGGGUUCCCGAGUGGCGAACGGGUGAGUAACACGUGAGUAACCUGCCCUUGACUUUGGGAUAACUUCAGGAAACUGGGGCUAAUACAGGAUAGGAGCUCCUGCUGCAUGGGGGGGGUUGGAAAGCUUCGGCGGUUGUGGAUGGACUCGCGGCUUAUCAGCUUGUUGGGGGGGUAGUUGCUUACCAAGGCUUUGACGGGUAGCCGGCCUGAGAGGGUGACCGGCCACAUUGGGCCUGAGAUACGGCCCAGACUCCUACGGGAGGCAGCAGUGGGGAAUAUUGCACAAUGGGCGGAAGCCUGAUGCAGCAACGCCGCGUGCGGGAUGACGGCCUUCGGGUUGUAAACCGCUUUAGCCUGUGACGAAGCGUGAGUGACGGUAAUGGGUAAAGAAGCACCGGCUAACUACGUG
rnacentral:rRNA from 1 species